rnacentral:rRNA from 1 species
AACGAACGCUGGCGGCAUGCCUAACACAUGCAAGUCGAACGAACCCUUCGGGGUUAGUGGCGCACGGGUGCGUAACGCGUGGGAAUCUGCCCUUUGCUUCGGAAUAACAGUUAGAAAUGACUGCUAAUACCGGAUGAUGUCUUCGGACCAAAGAUUUAUCGGCAAGGGAUGAGCCCGCGUAGGAUUAGGUAGUUGGUGGGGUAAAGGCCUACCAAGCCGACGAUCCUUAGCUGGUCUGAGAGGAUGAUCAGCCACACUGGGACUGAGACACGGCCCAGACUCCUACGGGAGGCAGCAGUGGGGAAUAUUGGACAAUGGGCGCAAGCCUGAUCCAGCAAUGCCGCGUGAGUGAUGAAGGCCUUCGGGUCGUAAAGCUCUUUUACCAGGGAUGAUAAUGACAGUACCUGGAGAAUAAGCUCCGGCUAACUCCGUGCCAGCAGCCGCCGUAA